rnacentral:misc_RNA from 1 species
CAAAAAUUGCUAUGUAAUUGAGUAUAUUAAUAUUAAUUUUAGGCUGCAAGAUAAACUUGACGGCCUUUUGGCAAUUCGAGACUGCUUUCAGAAAAAUGCCAAUAACACUGUAUAAAAUCAUCCAAUCUAACCGUUUUCACUAUGCAUAAAUAUGAUCAACUCAGUUGGUAAAUUUUGCAUGAUAAAAUGUAUAGAAAGUCGAUAUGAGUAUAUUGUGGGUGAGCAGUUACUCUGAGCCAAAAAGGGGCAAUUUUUGAGUUAGCUAGGCUAGCUAACUCGUUCGUGGACAGAAACGGCUUAGAGCUUAAACUUCAAAGGUUCUAGUUCGCAUUACAUAAAAUAUAAUGAAAUUGAGAUUAAUGCCUUGCUAAG